UCAUGGAUCAGAUCCAGCAGUUGUGCUCUUAUUUGAUCCAUCGUUGCUCAAUUUUGUCGUGGAGUACAAAAUUAUCUGUGCAUUUCCAUCCACAGAUUUUGGUGAGGCAACUGAGUUUGAGAUAUAUUCCUCCAAAGAGGGUUCCUGGGAAAUUGCCGGAGAGAUCUGCUUUGCCGUAGAGUACAAAAUUAUCUGUGCAUUUCCAUCCACAGAUUUUGAUGAGGCAACAGAGUUUGAGAUAUAUUCCUCCAAAGAGGGUACCUGGGAAAUUGCCGGAGAGAUCUGUUUUGGAGCUUGGAGGGUUAUACCAAAAUCGGGGGUUCAUGUUAAUGGUGUUGUUUACUGGAUGACAACUGGUAGUAUUCUUGCUUUUGAUCUAACCAAAGAGAGGUCACAGCU
rnacentral:lncRNA from 1 species